CAGCAGCCACGGUAAUACGGAGGGUGCAAGCGUUAAUCGGAAUUACUGGGCGUAAAGCGCACGCAGGCGGUCUGUCAAGUCAGAUGUGAAAUCCCCGGGCUUAACCUGGGAACUGCAUUUGAAACUGGCAGGCUAGAGUCUUGUAGAGGGGGGUAGAAUUCCAGGUGUAGCGGUGAAAUGCGUAGAGAUCUGGAGGAAUACCGGUGGCGAAGGCGGCCCCCUGGACAAAGACUGACGCUCAGGUGCGAAAGCGUGGGGAGCAAACAGGAUUAGAUACCCCAGUAGUCCCUGUCUCUUAUAA
rnacentral:rRNA from 1 species